rnacentral:rRNA from 1 species
AGUGAACGCUGGCGGCAGGCCUAACACAUGCAAGUCGAACGGAUCCUUCGGGAUUAGUGGCGGACGGGUGAGUAACGCGUGGGAACAUACCCUUUGGUACGGAAUAGCCUCGGGAAACUGGGAGUAAUACCGUAUGUGGUCGAGAGACGAAAGAUUUAUCGCCAAAGGAUUGGCCCGCGUUGGAUUAGGUAGUUGGUGGGGUAAUGGCCUACCAAGCCGACGAUCCAUAGCUGGUUUGAGAGGACGAUCAGCCACACUGGGACUGAGACACGGCCCAGACUCCUACGGGAGGCAGCAGUGGGGAAUCUUAGACAAUGGGGGAAACCCUGAUCUAGCCAUGCCGCGUGAUCGAUGAAGGCCUUAGGGUUGUAAAGAUCUUUCAGGUGGGAAGAUAAUGACUGUACCACCAGAAGAAGCCCCGGCUAACUCCGUGCCAGCAGCCGCCGUAA